AGAGGAGCCUGGGGUCCCCGGGGCCCGCCGCGCCACCCGGAGGCCCUCGGCGAAGACCAUCCUGGCGUCUCGCGGUCGGGGUGGGCGCCGCGCCUCCCGGGACCUCGCGGCUGCCGGCGUUUCCCGAGCCUGAGUCUCCCUCUCCAGGCGGUGGGCAGCUCGGCAGCCGGCACCCACCUCUUCCCCGCUUCCUCCUUCUGCAGGGGAAGCCCAGUCGGCUGGGUCUCGGUCCUGUCCCGCGCUGGCCACGCCUUAGACUUCUUUUCACCUGUUUACCGCACACGGUUGGAGGUGGGGCCAGUUCUUCGCCCUGGAUUCGUGGCCCCCUCCCCGGAGGGCCAGAGCUGACAUUUUGGGUUUGGGCUGGGCUUUUCGUAGGCCUCAGCUGAUGCAAAG
rnacentral:lncRNA from 1 species